AAAUCUUAGAACAUGAUUUGUGUUCUGCUGCCUUCUGCACAUGCCAUGUUUAUUAAAAUGGAUCAUGUUUUAGCUCUGUUUGUUCAGCAAGUUACACCCCUUUGUUACAACAUUCAGCUUAGACAAGUGGGGGGGGGGGUGUAAUUAAAAGUGCCUUUCAGUUCCACAGUUUGGUUUCCAUGACAGUCUUGAUGCACUAUUAUGUUUAAGGUUUUGAUUUUUUCAUGUUAUAGUAUAUACACACUAUAUAGAAAUAUAUUGCUUAAUAUUAUCAUAUUAUUCACUGUUCUUGUGUCACGAUUGUGGAAUUGUCAUUAACUUUUGAAGUCUGUGUGUGAAAUACUGAAACAAAUUUUUUUUUUUCUUCAGUAUAUUUAAGUUUUCAUACAGUAUUUUUCACUUUUUCUCCUUUUUUCUUUCUUUCAGAAGAAUUCUCCAUCCAAGCCGUCGGUGGCUGAGCUGGCCGGAAAGUUCAAAGGUCAUAUUCUUCCAAUACCCAACUCAAAUGGCGAGCCUCGAAGACGACCUCCGUGUUCCCUGAAGUUGCGAAAUCAAACGGAUGAUAACGACGAGUUAGAUGUGAGUCACCGCGUUCGUUCAUUGACCCGCGUGUUACGUUUGGCUUCUUGAAAGUCCCCAGAAGACAGACUUGGAUUUGUUUACUGUGCAUGUUCAUUGCAGCCUCACAGUUUCAACAUAGUGGGUAGUGUAAUGUUGAUAAAUGUGGUAUUUUAUUAUUUGUGUUUUUAGUUUUCUUCUUCUGCCUCAAUCAUUGGGAAAGGCCUGUUGUUUUUCCUCCCAGUAAAAUGACAACAUGCCAAACAAACUACGCAAAUCUAUCAUUGAGUUAUGGGCCAAUAAAAAGCACAACAGAAAUGU